rnacentral:rRNA from 1 species
GCCUAUAACCAUAUAAAAAGAAAUAUGGCUGAUCUCAUCAGAUCUCCGAAGCUAAGCAGGUUAGAGCCUGGAUAGCGCUUGGAUGGGGAACUACCGUGCAUGAAGCUGGUGCUAGAGGCU